CAGACUCAUAAAGCCCGGUAUUGUUAUUUAUUUUCACUACCUCCCCGUGUCAGGAUUGGGUAAUUUGCGCGCCUGCUGCCUUCCUUGGAUGUGGUAGCCGUUUCUCAGGCUCCCUCUCCGGAAUCGUUUAUUGUCACUGCCUACCCGUGUCAGGAUUGGGUAAUUUGCGAGCCUACUACCUUCCUUUGGAUGUGGUAGUCGUUUCUCAGGUUCCCUCUCUAGAAUCGAACCCUAAUUCUCCGUCACCCGUCACCACCAUGGUAGGUGUUACGACCCUAAAUAUUGACAUGACGGAUGUCAGGCAGAAUUCAUGUUGAGGGCUUGUGCAUUGCCCCUUGACAUGGUUUUGUUGAAGCGUUGACAAUGUACAAGGCUGGGUGUGUGUCUAAGUUGGUGAUGGGCUUAGGCAAGGCAGCGAGACAAGGCAGCUGGUGUGUUGGCAAGGCGGCCUUGGUUCGUGGGCAUCGGCUAUGGCAAAUGGAAGCAUGACACUUGACAAAGGCAUGCGCGGAUCUGUGGGUCGACUUAAUUUAUAGCAAGGCGUGGCUAUGAAAUUGAGGGCGAGGCAAGUCCAAGGCAAAGCCGGGCAAAGGUAUGCAUGGAUCAGUGGGACGACUUGAUUCAUAGCAGGGCGUGGCUAUGAAAUUAAGGGCGAGGCAAGGUCCAAGGCAAAGCGGGGCAAAGGCAUGCGCAGAUCGGUGGGNNNNNNNNNNNNNNNNNNNNNNNNNNNNNNNNNNNNNNNNNNNNNNNNNNNNNNNNNNNNNNNNNNNNNNNNNNNNNNNNNNNNNNNNNNNNNNNNNNNNNNNNNNNNNNNNNNNNNNNNNNNNNNNNNNNGGAUUGGUGGGACGACUUAAUUCAUAGCAGGGCGUGGCUAUGGAAUUAAGGGCGAGGCAAGAUCCAAGGCAAAGCUGGGCUAGAGACAAGGAAAACGUGGGCAAGGCUAGAAGCCAUCGUGCAUGGCAUGCGAUGGAGAGGUGGGAAGGACAUGUGCUGGAAGUUGAAGACAUGAUCUAAGAACAUGGGCGGUUGGCUACAAAGUGGAAGACAUGGUAGCAACUACACCACCUAAGGCAUGUGCAUGGCACAUGGUAGAAACUGCCCCUUUGUAACUCUCCCAUUGUAAGUGCCUUUGACAGCCCCUUUAUAAAGAUUGCAUCUCCGUAUGUGGAGAAGGCAAGUAGCAUUACAUAUGUGAGCCAAGUCUAAAAAGAGUAUCCUUUGUAUAUUCUGCGAGAAUUAAUAAAGGUUGGGUUUUACCCGUAAAUUUUGUGUGUGUUCUUAGUUUGGCUAAUGUUUGAAAAUCCUAAGUCAGUAAUAAACCUAAGGCAUGUGCAUGCCACAUGGUAGAAACUGCCCCUUUGUAACUGUCCCUUUGUAACUGCUUUCGGCAGCCCCUUUAUAUAGAUUGCAUCUCCGUCUGUGGAGAAGGCAAGUAGCAUUACAUAUGUGAGCCAAGUCUAAAAAGUUUUCUUCAGGAAUUUUGACCCGUUGCAUCUCCGUCUGUGGAGAAGGCAAGUAGCAUUACAUAUGUGAGCCAAGUCUAAAAAGUGUUUCCUUUAUAUAUUAUGCGAGAAUUAAUAAAGGUUGUGUUUUACCCAUAAAUUCUGUGUGUGUUCAUAGUUUGGCUAAUGUCUGAAAAUCCUAAGUUAGACUGUGUGUGUGUGUAUGCGAAAAGUGAAGGCUGAAGUGGCUGUGAGCUGCUGCCGCGCAGUGUCUAUUUUUGCGAAAAAUUGACCCUGUAACAAUUGGUAUCAGAGCUUUUUGGUUGUAACUCUUGAUCAUGGCGGGUGGGUCUACUUCAAACUUACGUGAUAGAAUGCAACGGUUGGAGGCGCUAAUCAGCGUGACCGAUGAUCCUUUGGAUAUGGCAGAUCUUAUAACAGAGAUUUACCGUCUAAAGGAUUGGGCAGAUCACUUUCGCGAUGGGAUCCAACAAAGUUGUGAAAAGAUCUUAUUACAAAGAUUUACCGUCUAAAGGAUGGGGCAGAUCAGUUUCGCGAGGGAUCCAAAAAAGUUGUGAAUCAACGGAUGGCAUAGUUGAAGACCUGAAGAAGGAGGUCGACAACUUGAUGGCCAAAAUCACGAUUCUUCGACGGGCGUUAGCUGCUCCAAGCCAAGGCAAUGAAGAACGCUUGAAGGUAAAGAUUUCGGAUCCAAAGGCGUUUGAUGGAACGCGUAGUGCAAAAGAAUUGGAGAAUUUUCUAUGGGACAUGGAACAAUAUUUUGUUGCUGCCAAAGUUCCAAAUGCAAAGAAGGUCACAAUUACAAGCAUGUACCUAACGGGAGAUGCUAAAUUGUGGUGGAGAACUCAUAUGGUGGACGAUGAAAGUGCGAGCAGACCGAAAAUUGAUACAUGGGAUAAGCUCAGAAAAGAAAUGAAGGACCAAUUCUUGCCUGGAGUGGAGAACUCGUAUGGUGGACGAUGAAAGUGCUGGCAGACCAAAAAUUGAUACAUGGGAGAAGCUCAGAAAGAAAUGAAGGACAAAUUCUUGCCUAGCAAUGAUUCUUGGCUAGCUAGAGACCAUUUGAAACGCUUGCGACAAACGGGAUCUAUUCGCGAUUAUAAUAAGGAAUUUUCUUCCUUAAUGUUGGAUGUUCAAAUCAUUUCGGCGGACGACAAAUUGCAUAACUUUAUUUCUGGAAUGCAAGCAUGGCGCAGAAUGAACUUAGGAGACAGACUGUGAGGGAUCUCCGAAGUGGCAUGGCUGCAGCGGAUUCUUUGGUGGACUAUCGCAGCACCCGUACUCUUUCGGAUAUUCCUCCUACUUCAAAACCUAACAAACGGGUGGAGAAGAAGGAUCUCCCAUGUGCCAUGGCUGCAGCGGAUUCUUUGGUCGACUAUCGCAGCACCCGCACUCUUUCGGAUAUUCCUCCUACUUCAAAACCUAACAAACGGGAGGCGAAGAAAGGGGAAUGUAGGAAGGAAGUUCGAGAGGAAGUCGUUGAGAAGGGCAAGGUUGUCGAUGGGGUUGUUCAAAACUAAGGCGUCGCAAACAGGAAAACUGAUGGUUGCUGGACGUGCGGAGGACCUCAUCUUUCCAGAGACUGUCCAAAUCGUGAGCGGGUAAAUGCUUUGCUUGCUACAGAAAAUAAUCGGGAUGGAGAAGGUGAAGAAAUUGUUGCUGCCUUGGUAAAUCCUUUUAAUUGUUGAAUGUUAUCUCGUAGCUAAAUACUACAAGAAACGAGACGAACCCUUAUUCUUUGCUGAUGCACAUCGAGAUGACAGGAGUGUGAUAGCUAUGGUAGAUACUGGCGCUACUCACACCCUUAUUUGCAAUUGUUGAAUGUUAUCUCUUUGCUAAAUACUAUAAGUAAAGAGACGAACCCUUAUUCUUUGCUGAUGCACAUCGAGAUGAGAAUUGGGGACAGAAGCGUGAUAGCUAUGGUAGAUACUGGCGCUACUCACACCCUUAUUUCUGCCAGUUUGGUGCAUAAGUAUUGAUUGAGAGUGUCGAAAUGUCCCUCUUUCAUAAAGAAUGUGAACACCAAAGCACAAGCCAUCGUGGGUAUGACUUAUGAUGUUCCUAUGUCUGUUGGGAACUGGAAAGGGAAGGUCAAUUUGAUGGAGAUUCCAAUGGAAGAGUUUGAGGUGAUCCGCUGAAUUGACUUCAUGCAGAAACAUCACUUUGUUCGACUCACUUGAACGGAGUGAUGAUCAUGGAUGAUAUGGCUCCUGGUUUCAUAAAAGCUAUUUAUCCUUAUGGAAGAGAAGAAAUUCAAAGUUAGGCUUCGUUAAAUUCUGCCAUGAUGGUUGUAAAAGGUUUGAAGAUGGGAGGUGAGACUUUCCUUGCUGCUAGCUUCGUUAAAUUCUGCCAUGAUGGUUGGAAAUGGUUUGAGGAAGGGAAGUGAGACUUUCCUUGCUGCCGGGGUUGAAGUGAAGCCUGAUGUUAAGGUUGAAGUGCCGGACUGCGAUGCUCAAAGUUUGAGUGACUUUCCUGAUGUGAUACCACCAGAUUUGCCUAAAAAUAUGCCAGCACAGAGGACUAUUGAUCACAAGAUAGAGUUGAUGCCGGGUUCGACGCUUCCUACUCAACCUCAUAGAGGGUUGAACUAGGUGAAGGUGAAAAACAACUAUCCUGUUCCGUUGGUGGAAGAGUUGAUGGACAGAUUGAGCAAGACAUGCUGAUUCAUGAAGCUUGAUAUACGGUUGGGUUAUGUACGGAUAGCUGAAGGUGAUGAGUAUAAAACUACGUAUGUUACGAGGUAUGGCUCAUAUGAAUUCGUUGUUAUGCCGUUCGGAUCGAUAGAUGCCCCUGCUACAUUUUGCAACCUCAUGAAUGACGGCCUGUAUGAGUACAUAGAUGACUUUGUUGUUGUCUAAUUAGACGACAUUGUUGUCUAUAGUCGAAAUUUGGAUGAACAUAUGUUACACUUGAUAAAAGUGCUGUCUCGGUUGAGGGAGUACAAGCUGUAUGAGAAGUGUGAAUUUUCUAGACAGGAGAUCAAAUUUCAUGGGCACUUGGUGAGCCAGAAUCAGGUGCGUAUGGACCCGAAGAAGGUGCAGGUCAUUGCGGAAUGGAAAGUGCCGAAAGUUGUGAAAGAAUUGAGAUCUUUCCUUGGGUUGGCUAAUUAUUAUCAGAAAUUCAAUCAGGUGCGGAUGGACCCGAAGAAGGUGCAGGUCAUUGCGGAAUGGCAGGUACCGAAAGUUGUGAAAGAAUUGAGAUCUUUCCUUGGGUUGGAUGAUUAUUAUCAGAAAUUCAUUGCUGGUUACUCAAAGUAAGCUGUUCCUUUGAUGGAUGUGUUGAAGAAGAACAUUAAAGGGAAUUGGUCGGAAAAAUUCUGGGCUGCAUUUAGUAUGUUGAAAGAAUCCAUUGCCUCAGAACCAAUCGUGCGGCUUGCUGAGUUUGAGUUACUGUUUGAAGUGCAUACAGAUACGUCUGACAAGGCUGUUGGAGGCGUGCUGGUUUGAGAAAGUCAUCCUGUGGCCUUUGAAAUAAGAAAGUUGAAUGAAGCAGAACAAAGGUAUUCGUCUCAUGAGGAGGAAGUCUUUGUUGCUGGUUAUUCCCUUAUGGGACUUGAGUUAGAUUUUUUUGAUAAAUUCAAGUCAGAUGCUAUGAAUGAUCCAUUGUACAUAAACACAAUGAAUCAUACGAAGGAAGGUACUGUGCGACGGUACUGGAUCAAGGGCAACAAAUGUACAUAAACACAAUGAAUCAUACAAAGGAAGGUACUGUGCGACGGUACUGGAUCAAAGGCAACGAGGUAUUGCUGGAUAAAACCUUGAUUGCGAGACAUGGUGGUCCAUUCGAAGAGCAAAUCGAGGGCUACUUGAGAUUAACCUCGACGAGGGCGUCGAGUUCAAUUGGUGGGGGUGGUUUGUUAGACCCCUAAUAUUGGCGUGAUGCAUGUUGGGCAGAAUGCGUGUCAAGGGCUUGUGCAUUGCCCUUGACAUGUCUUCGGUGAAGCAUUGACAAGCAAUGUACAAGGCUGGACGUGUGUCUAAGUUGGUGAUGGACUUAGACAAGGCAGCUAGGCAAGGCAGCUGGAGCGUUGGCAAGGCAGCCUUGGUUUGUGUGCAUCAUGGCCUUAGUUCGUGGGCAUCGGCUAUGGCAAAUGGAAGCAUGGCACUUGACAAAGGCAGGCGCGGAUCUGUGGGACGACUUAAUUAAUAGCAAGGCGUGGCGAUGAAAUUGAGGGCGAGGCAAGGUCCUAGGCAAAGCCGGGCAAAGGUAUGCGCGGAUCAGUGGGAUGACUUGAUUCAUAGCAGGGUGUGGCUAUGAAAUUAAGGGCGAGGCAAGGUCCAAGGCAAAGCGGGGAAAAGGCAUGCGCGGAUCGGUGGGAAAACUUAAUUCAUAGUAGGGCAUGGCUAUGGAAUUAAGGGCGAGGCAAGGUCCAAGGAAAAGCUGGGCUAGAGACAAGGAAAAGCUGGGCUAGAGACAAGGAAAACGUGGGCAAAGCUAGAGGCCAUCGUGCAUGGCAUGUGAUGGAGAGGUGGGAAGGACAUGUACUGGAAGUUGAAGACAUGAUCUAAGAACAUGGGCGGUUGGCUACAAAGUGGAAGACAUGGUAGCAAUUGUCCGAAACCACCUAAGGCGUGUGCAUGUCACAUGGUAGAAACUGCCCCUUUGUAAUUGUCCCUUUGUAACUGCCUUUGGCAGCCCCUUUAUAUAGAUUGCAUCUCCGUAUAUGGAGAAGGCAAGUAACAUUACAUAUAUGAGCCAAGUCUAAAAUUGGUAGAAACUGCCCCUUUGUAACUGCCUAAGGUAGCCCCUUUAUAUAGAUUGCAUCUCCGUCUGUGGAGAAGGCAAGUAACAUUACAUAUGUGAGCCAAGUCUAAAAAGAGUGUCCUUUGUAUAUUCUGCGAGAAUUAGUAAAGGUUGGGUUUUACCCGUAAAUUCUGUGUGUGUUCAUAGUUUGGCUAAAGUCUGAAAAUCCUAAGUCAGCCUGUGUGUGUGUGGGAAAAGUGAAGGCUGAAGUGGCUGUGAGCUGCUGCCGUGCAAUGUCUAUUUUUGCGAAAAAAUUGACCCUGUAACAGUAGGCCACUAUCCUACCAUCGAAAGUUGAUAGGGCAGAAAUUUGAAUGAUGCGUCNNNUCCCUCUCCGGAAUCGAACCCUAAUUCUCCGUCACCCGUCACCACCAUGGUAGGCCACUAUCCUACCAUCGAAAGUUGAUAGGGCAGAAAUUUAAAUGAUGCGUCGCCGGCACGAUGGCCGUGCGAUCCGUCGAGUUAACAUGAAUCAUCGCAGCAACGGGCAGAGACCGCGCCGAUCGACCUUUUAUCUAAUAAAUGCAUCCCUUCAAGAAGUCGGGGUUUGUUGCACGUACUAGCUCUAGAAUUACUACGGUUAUCCGAGUAGUAGAUACCAUCAAACAAACUAUAACUGAUUUAAUGAGCCAUUCGCAGUUUCACAGUCUGAAUUUGUUUGUUGCACGUACUAGCUCUAGAAUUACUACGGUUAUCCGAGUAGUAGAUACCAUCAAACAAACUAUAACUGAUUUAAUGAGCCAUUCGCAGUUCACAGUCUGAAGUUGUUCAUACUUACACAUGCAUGGAUUAAUCUUUGAGACAACCAUAUGACUACUGGCAG
rnacentral:lncRNA from 1 species